rnacentral:rRNA from 1 species
UAGUGCCUACGGGGCGCAGCAGUGGGGAAUAUUGCACAAUGGGGGGAACCCUGAUGCAGCGACGCCGCGUGGGUGAAGGAGUAUUUCGGUAUGUAAAGCUCUAUCAGCAGGGAAGAAGAAAGACGGUACCUGACUAAGAAGCCCCGGCUAACUACGUGCCAGCAGCCGCGGUAAUACGUAGGGGGCAAGCGUUAUCCGGCUUUACUGGGUGUAAAGGGAGCGUAGACGGCAUAGCAAGUCUGAAGUGAAAGCCCGUGGCUCAACCGCGGAACUGCUUUGGAAACUGUUAAGCUGGAGUACUGGAG